rnacentral:rRNA from 1 species
CCCUUAGAUGUUCUGGGCCGCACGCGCGCUACACUGACGAAUGCAACGAGCUUAUAACCUUGGCCGAAAGGUCUGGGUAAUCUCCAAAUUUCGUCGUGAUGGGGAUAGAUUAUUGCAAUUAUUAAUCUUCAACGAGGAAUUCCUAGUAAUGGCGAAUCAUCAGUUCGUCGUGAUUACGUCCCUGCCCUUUGUACACACCGCCCGUCGCUCCUACCGAUUGAGCAAUCCGGUGAAUAUUUCGGACCGAAUAUCUGCGGGGCAACCCAUGGACGUUUGGAAAGUCAAGUAAACCUUAUUGCUUAGAGGAAGGAGAAGUCGUAACA